AUUGAACGCUGGCGGCAGGCCUAACACAUGCAAGUCGAGCGGAUGAAGGGAGCUUGCUCCUGGAUUCAGCGGCGGACGGGUGAGUAAUGCCUAGGAAUCUGCCUGGUAGUGGGGGAUAACGUCCGGAAACGGGCGCUAAUACCGCAUACGUCCUGAGGGAGAAAGUGGGGGAUCUUCGGACCUCACGCUAUCAGAUGAGCCUAGGUCGGAUUAGCUAGUUGGUGGGGUAAAGGCCUACCAAGGCGACGAUCCGUAACUGGUCUGAGAGGAUGAUCAGUCACACUGGAACUGUGACACGGUCCAGACUCCUACGGGAGGGAGCAGUGGGGAAUAUUAGACAAUGGGCGGAAGCAUGUUCCAGCCAUGCGGCGUGUGUGAAGAAGGUCUUCGGAUUGUAAAGCACUUUAAGUUGGGAGGAAGGGCAGUAAGUUAAUACCUUGCUGUUUUGACGUUACCAACAGAAUAAGCACCGGCUAACUUCGUG
rnacentral:rRNA from 1 species